CCGUUCUCCAGUAAUCCUCUGUGACAUGAAGCAUACUUGUCUUAGCCCAGAAGGCUAGGACGACUUCAGAGCUUGUAGAGCCGGCGUGUCCCCGGAGUUGGCGUGCAUAUUCGGAAGUAGGACCCACAUUGCCAGAGCCUGUGGAGAGGUAAGUCUGGCGGAAGUAGCUCCCAGUAUCACCAAGCACCCUCUCUGCGCGGUCUCCCUAAAUACCGUCAGAGCUGUGUCAGAGGGGAGCGGGGUCCAGCUGCCGAACCCAGAAGUGUUACCGCAUGACAGGUGAUAUCGGUAGGUAAACCUUAACAAAUGAG